GACGAACGCUGGCGGCGUGCUUAACACAUGCAAGUCGAACGAAGUGGCGAACGGGUGAGUAAUACGUGGGUAACCUGCCCUCCUUUUUGGGAUAAGCCUUGGAAACGGGGUCUAAUACCGAAUAAAGGGGGAUGGGCUCGCGGCCUAUCAGCUUGUUGGUGGGGUGAUGGCCUACCAAGGCGGGGACGGGUAGCCGGCCGGGGAGGGGGACCGGCCACAUUGGGACUGAGAUACGGCCGCGACUCCUCCGGGGGGGAGACGGGGGGGAUAUUGCACAAUGGGCGAAAGUCGGACGGAGCAACGCCGCGUGAGUGAUGACGGCCUUCUGGUUGUAAAGCUCUGUUCAUCGGGACACAGUACCGGAAUAGAAAGCCACGGCUAACUACGUGCCAGCAGCCGCGGUAAUAC
rnacentral:rRNA from 1 species